AAAGAGGAAACAUUUGAUAAAGAUGUAACCCAUGUCCUUUAAAUCUAUUAGAUACAAAAAGGGGUUACUCUUUAUACAUUUACAUGCUUACAGCUAAAAAUAUGUUGUAGAAUUACAACUUUAAAUUAAAUUCAUUCAUGUCUAGGCAGUUAUAAUGAAUAUUCAAUGAAGUGGAACCCAAUUUAAAUCAACCACAAUUCAGCUAAAUUAAAUAGUUAAAAUCUAAAAUGUAUAUUAGUCGAGCCAAAAAUAACUAUAAAUGGCAAGAACGUUGUUAAUUAUAAACCGAGUUUAAUUAUAUACUGAAUAUACAGGUUACUUUGAAUUAUUUACUUUAUGUUAACAUUAAACCACUCCACAUUGGUUUUUUAUGUGUUUUUUUUGGCAGAAAGUCAAAAAAUUUUUUUAACGGAAUAAAAAAAUUUUUAGUUUCUUUAUAUUUAGGAUAGUCUAAUUAGAUAAAAAAAAGUCGAUUUUUACUUUUUUAUGCAACACUGGCUUAUUGCCCACCUCUCAAAGAGAGCUGAUUGUCGAUAACAUGCGUAAGACAAAAUUGGCGGCAAAUCAUUGUGCAACAUUUGUGGUUAAUAUUUCCUCAGAGAAUUAAAAAGUUUAAGCUGGUGUCAUGGAAAACAGUAGGCCAGUCAACUUAACAAUUGUAGCUGUGUUUCGUGGAAUAUAACUUUUGUAUGGCAAACCACUUCAAAAGAAUUUUAACGGCAAGUUAUUAACUAACAUGUGUAUAAUAUUAUACAACUAGUUUCAUAUGCACCUUUUUGUUCCUUUUUGAAAAAAUUACGUUUUUGUAGAUGAAUACUUGUUUGGGCAUGCAGAGCUGCUUGACAUUUGGAGCAACAAUAGUCGCUCUGAGGAUGCAGUUAGGCAGCAUAUAUUUAAAAAAAUUGGUCAGAAUAAUUUAAAUGAAUGUUGUAUUUCACUGAUAAAUAAAAAAGUUAAGUCCUUCUUUGAUUACAUAAGGAAACAUUUGCCAGGUUGCAAUAGAUUAUAGGUUGUAAGUAUAAUAGCAUAACAAUGACAUAUGAUAAAUUUAUUUUUAAAUUUCAUGACAAACUGUUUUGGACCAUCAUAUACAUCUUAAUAUGAUUUUAUUUUAUUUGAUUUUCUGUAUAUAAUAUCAUAAUAUAAUAUAAUUAAAAAUAGAUACAAAUUUUUUUUUUUUGGUAAUGUAAAUAUUUUUAUGGCAUAUCGGCCAGAUCGUUUAUAUGGCAGCUAUAUGAAAGUUGACCAAAUCACUUGAAACUUUGUGAAUCAUCUUGGGGGAAGUAAAGAGUAACACAAACCAAAUUUGGUGAAGAUAGGUCAUCAUUUCGAAUUUCUGCCAAAAAAAACGCA